GAUGAAGACGCAGCGAAAUGCGAUAAGUAAUGUGAAUUGCAGAAUUCAGUGAAUCAUCGAAUCUUUGAACGCACAUUGCGCCCCUUGGUAUUCCGAGGGGCAUGCCUGUUCGAGCGUCAUAUUAACCACUCCCGCUUGCGGGGUCUUGGGCUUCGCCUCCGGGCGGGCCUUAAAAUCAGUGGCGGUGCCGUCGGGCUCUACGCGUAGUAAAUUUUCUCGCGAUAGGGUCCCGGUGGAUGCUUGCCAACAACCCCCAACUUCUUAAGGUUGACCUCGGAUCAGGUAGGGAUACCCGCUGAACUUAAGCAUAUCAAUAAGCGGAGGA
rnacentral:misc_RNA from 1 species